rnacentral:tRNA from 1 species
GACAGCUCAGUCAGUACAGCAUGAAACUCUUAAUCUCACGGUUGUGAGUUCGAGCCCCAUGUUGGGCG